AGAGGCUGGCGGGAUCCUCCAUAUGCUGAACGCUGGUUCCCCGGGUCCCCUUAUUUCUUUCUCUAUACUUUGUCUCUGUGUCUUUUUCUUUUCCAAAUCUCUCGUCCCACCUUACGAGAAACACCCACAGGUGUGUAGGGGCAACCCACCCCCACAUCAAUCAUCAAUUAAAACACUCCCUUCCUUCCUAACAAUAGGAGCGAACAUGAACAUUGC
rnacentral:lncRNA from 1 species